rnacentral:lncRNA from 1 species
UGUUGUUGUUGUUGCAAUCAAAGAGAGUUUUAUUUUGGUAACGGGAUAAUAUAGUGGGAAACUAUGUUACUCAAGAGUGGGAAUCAGAAUAGCAAUGUGAAGUCUUAAGAAUGGAUGUGGUUAAAGGUUAUCAAGAGCAUAAUAGUGGGUAGUUAAGCCAGAAGUGGUAGUGAUCAAGUCAGUGGUAUGAUGGUUCUUAGAAGAAACAAGAGAAGGUAAAAGAGUAUCAGUCAAGGGUUGAUCUGAAGUGAAGACUAGUGGAAGUUUUAGAAGAGAUUUACAAGAAGGAGCGAAACAUAGAUGAGGGGUUGGCGAUGUGGCAGACACAAUAGGGUUGGUUAUGUAAAAAGAAAGGUUAUCAAGAAUUGAGGUUUAGGGGUUCAUAUUUUUUGUUGAGAUUAAUGGCUAGACCAAUUUACACUAUUGAACAAUAAAGCAUUUUAGCACAAAGGCAAGGUUUUUCAUGUUGGUAAAGUUGUUGGGGAGUAUUAUCUUCAUCGAAUAGGUGGUUGUGAUAGGGGAAGUCAGGAAAGUAAGUUUUUCUUUCUAUCUGAUGAGUGAAUUUUCGAGGACGAAAACUUUUGUGUUGGGGAGAAUGUAAGAACCUAAAAAUAUAAAAAUAUAUCUAUAUUACAUUAAAAGAAAAUGGGGGCGGAAACUAAAUUAAAAUAAAAGGGAGGGGCUUUUUAUUAAAAAGAAAAACAGUUUAUAGUUUCUGCUAAGCUUUUAGAAAAGAAAGUUGAAACCCAUUUUAUUAAAAACGUUUCUCUUUCUCUAGACAUCUUCUUCUUCUUCCUCUACCUUUUCUCUAAUCUCCACACUUAACCAACCAUUGCAUGUCUAUUU